rnacentral:rRNA from 1 species
GACGAACGCUGGCGGCGUGCUUAACACAUGCAAGUCGAACGAUGAAGCCGGAGCUUGCUCCGGUGGAUUAGUGGCGAACGGGUGAGUAACACGUGAGCAAUCUGCCCUUGACUCUGGGAUAACUGCGGGAAACUGUAGCUAAUACCGGAUACGACACCUUGGGGCAUCCCAGGGUGUGGAAAGAAUUUCGGUCAAGGAUGAGCUCGCGGCCUAUCAGCGAGUUGGUGAGGUAUGGCUCACCAAGGCGACGACGGGUAGCCGGCCUGAGAGGGUGACCGGCCACACUGGAACUGAGACACGGUCCAGACUCCUACGGGAGGCAGCAGUGGGGAAUAUUGCACAAUGGGCGAAAGCCUGAUGCAGCAACGCCGCGUGAGGGAUGAAGGCCUUCGGGUUGUAAACCUCUUUUAGCAGGGAAGAAGCGAAAGUGACGGUACCUGCAGAAAAAGCACCGGCUAACUACGUGCCAGCCGCCGCAGUAA